AAGUCGUAACAAGGUUUCCGUAGGUGAACCUGCGGAAGGAUCAUUAUCGAGUUAGGGUCUUCUAGGCCCGACCUCCCAACCCUUUGUUUAUCAGACCUCUGUUGCUUCGGCGGACCCGUCUUGAUUGACCGCCGGAGGACCGCCCCCGCGGCGCCCUCUGGCCAGUGUCUGCCGGUGGCCUAAUUUCUCCAACUCUAGUUAAACAUGAUGUUAUGUCUAAGUGAUUUAUCAAAUCAAAAGCAAAAACUUUCAACAACGGAUCUCUUGGUUCUG
rnacentral:misc_RNA from 1 species